GACUCAGUAUUAGUGUUGUAACUUGCCUCGGGAGAUUUAUUUGAGCUGAGUCUCAGUUAUCCCCCUGGAAAAAUUGUACCUUCUUUGCAGAGUUGUGGGGUCAAAUGAGAUGACUUGGACAGGAGCCAGCAUAUAGUAGCUCAAUAUGUGGCUUCCAUGCGGUUGGGUUAGGCCGCAUGACUAAUGCAGACCAAAGAAAUGUGAGCAGAAGCUUGAUGACUGAAACCAAUCCAUCCCAGGAUCCUGAAAAAUCCAGAAUUUGAAGUUUAUUCUAAAAUUGACUGGCUUCUUCAUAUACACAGAAUCAGUACUCACACACCCACCUGUAUUUGCACACAUCCAAGCAAACAGAAACAACAACAAAAGGGAAUUUCUUCAUAUACUUGUGUGUCUUAAUUUUCAGUCUGGGAAAAUAUGAUUACCUGAGACAUUUUCUCCUAGUUGCCCUGAGGAAUGUCUUCAGAAUUCAGUCCCCAGAGCAGGACUUGAUCUUGAAGUCCACCUCCAGCCCUUUCUCCUUGCCUUUGGCAAAUGAAAUGUGACAGCACUGCUCUCUGUUGGUCUGGCUGCCAGCAUGGGCAUGGAACACCUCUUUCCAUUUGCUGCACUCCCUAAAGAAUA